rnacentral:rRNA from 1 species
CCUACGGGUGGCAGCAGUGGGGAAUAUUGCACAAUGGGGGAAACCCUGAUGCAGCGACGCCGCGUGAGUGAAGAAGUCUUUCGGUACGUAAAGCUCUAUCAGCAGGGAAGAAAAUGACGGUACCUGACUAAGACUCCCCGGCUAACUACGUGCCAGCAGCCGCGGUAAUACGUAGGGGGCAAGCGUUAUCCGGAUUUACUGGGUGUAAAGGGAGCGUAGACGGCAGCGCAAGUCUGGAGUGAAAUCCCAUGGCUUAACCAUGGAACUGCUUUGGAAACUGUGCAGCUAGAGUGCAGGAGAGGUAGGCGGAAUUCCUGGUGUAGCGGUGAAAUGCGUAGAUAUUAGGAGGAACCCCGAUUGCGAAGGCAGCUUACUAAACUGUGACUGACAUUGAUGCUCGAAAGUGUGGGUAUCAAACAGGAUUAGAUACCCCUGUAGUC